rnacentral:rRNA from 1 species
UACGUAGGGUGCAAGCGUUGUCCGGAUUUACUGGGCGUAAAGAGCGCGCAGGCGGUCGUUCAAGUCGCGUGUGAAAUCUCCCGGCUCAACUGGGAGGGUGCACCGGAAACUGGAGUGCUCGAGUAUGGGAGAGGAAAGCGGAAUUCCUGGUGUAGCGGUGAAAUGCGUAGAUAUCAGGAGGAACACCCGUGGUGUAGACAGCUUUCUGGACCAUGACUGACGCUGAGACACGAAAGCGUGGGGAGCAAACAGG